UGUUGGUCUUCCCAAAGGGCUGAUGAAACAUGCAGGGGAUUUGACAUCUGUGAGGAAGACACAGUGAAACCUUCACAGCAUUUCAGCUGAAUGAGAAUUGGAGGAAGAAUAGGAUGUUUGGUGGACAACUGAGGUCUGACAUAAUCUGCCUGCCAAAGCGGUGCAUCUUGGGGCAGCCUGCCUUUGACCCCUACAACUGCAGGAGCAACUACAUAUUUAUAAUCAGAAAUUCUCGGCCUCCUUAGUCCCUGAGACACAACAAACAAAGAACAAACUACUGAUACACAACAACUUGGAGAAGCCCCACAGGAAGUAACAUAGUAAUAGAGAUGAGGAUAGAGUGGUGUUUGCCAGGCUUAGGAGUAGGAGGGAGGAGAUGGUUGUGGCUAUACAGUGGUGACAGGAGGAAGCCUUAUGGUGAUGGGUACAGUUGAGUAUCAUGAUUGUGGUGGUGAUUAUCAAAGCCUCCAUGUGCAAUAUAAUAGCAUAGGGACACACACAUACACACACACAAAUGUGUGCAUGUGUAACAUGCUGGCAAGGAGGCAGGAAACUGGAUCACUCAUACACUGCAGAUGGGAAUAUAAAAUAUUACAGCCAUUCAGGAAAAAAGCCCAGCAAUUCCUGUCAAAAUUAAAAAUGGACUUACCAUACAACCCAACCAUCUAUUGUUGGACAUUUAUCCCAAUGUCUUAUUUCCACAUAAGAACUUGUGCAUGAAUGUUCAUAGCAACGUUAUUCCUAAUCAUCCAAACUGUAAAAUAUCCAAAUUUCCUUUAAUUGGGUGAAUAGUUAAACAAACUGUGGUGUGUCCACAGUAUAGAGUACUAGGAAAAAUAUUUGCUGCUCAUCUAUAGAUAAAGAACUUACCUUCCUAACUUAUAGAGUUCCUAUAAAUCAAUAAGAAAAAGACAAACAAUUCUAUGAAAAAAAGGAGUAACAAAUAGACAAGUGUCAGAAAAGGAAAUAUACAUGGCUUUUGAACAUAUGAAAAGGUGCUUCAUGACACUCAUAAUACAAGAAAUGUGAGUCAAAACUACAGAGUGAUACCACUUUUGAUUUAUCACAAUGAGAAAGAUGAAAAGCCUUGAUAAAACCCUAUUUGGUAAGAGUAUGGAGAAGCACUAUUGUGCAUUGUUGGUGGGAGAGUGAAUUGGUACAAUCUCUUCAAAAUUAUUUUAGCAAUUUUGUCCAAACUACAGAU